rnacentral:tRNA from 1 species
GCUCCUAAAGGAUUAUAGCUAUCCCUUGGUCUUAGGAACCAAAAAUCUUGGUGCAAAUCCAAGUAGAAGCU